UGGGAUACCCCUGAGCCACUCGCCUGCUGCUGGGCUGCUCUCCCACUCCAUGCCGGAGCACUGUAGGCUGCCGCGCUGCGCCUUCCGCCGGCCUCCAAGAGCCUCCCGCCAUCACAGAGCCCAGAGUUGAUCUCUGCACCACUCUAUCACUGCUGGGGGUGAGGAAAUGGUGGAACCGGUGAUUCAGGACUGUUUUUUCUCUCUUCUCAGUGCCUCUUUCAGUGAUAUGAAGUUAAAACCAGGAUGGAAGAUCAGUGGAGCCUUCUUUCUGCCAUCUUGCUUUACCCUCACACCCAAGAAUCAGAAUGCAGAACUUUUAAUCAGAAAAGCAUUCAGAACUCAGGAAGGACAUGGAAGACAUCCUGGUUCUCCACGUUUAACAUUGGACUGUUUCUUCAACUUAGGUGCAUAGCACUGACACUAAUCAGGGAUUAUCACCGAUAAUUUGACUUGGACUAUGGAGUUCAUUCAAAUACUUUAUCUAGACAAUUUAAGUACUGGCUUAUUUGUCAUGAAAAUCUGACAAAGUAAUUUCUUGGUAUUCAGUUGAUUUUUACUCUGUUUGGGUUAGCAGUUUAUAAACCAGUCAGUCUCUUCAUUAAAGUUCUGGGAAUUCUUACUCGUUCAAAUGAUAUGAUUCUAAAGUUCUCAAAAAUCUGUAUUCUAGAAUUCUUCUCAGGACCUUUUCCCUCCUUUCAUGAAACUCCUUAAAGAUACAGUAUUCUAUAAUUUUGCAAGCUUGUACAGUUUUCAGAAACUGCCUCAGAAUUAAGCAAUUUACAGUGGAAAUGUUUUUAAAUUGUCAUAGACACAAUUGACAAGAAAAUUUUAUUAUUUACAGGCGUGAGCCACCACACCCAGCCUCUGAAGUUAAUUUAAUAAAAUUUUAUGAAUAAAUUUAUCAAAUGUGUCAUCUUUUAAUCCCAGAUCUUUGUGAACCUAUGCUUUGCAUUUCCCCCAGCUUUCUAUAUUUACCUAGUUUUAUCUAUUUUUUACUUGUACAAUUUGAAACCUUUAAGUAACUUCAAACAAAAAAAAAUUAAAACAUAUGUUUACG
rnacentral:lncRNA from 10 species